GCCCCCGUAGCUCAGUUGGAGCAGAGCGCUCGGUUCCGAACCGAGAGGCCGCAGGUUCGAGUCCUGCCGGGGGCA
rfam:Archangium gephyra strain DSM 2261, complete genome.